UACGUAGGUGGCAAGCGUUGUUCGGAAUUAUUGGGCGUAAAGGGCGCGUAGGCGGCUCGUUAAGUCGGCUGUGAAAGCCCGGGGCUCAACCCCGGAGGGUCAGCCGAUACUGGCGAGCUAGAGUACGGAAGAGGUAGCUGGAAUUCCCGGUGUAGCGGUGAAAUGCGUAGAUAUCUGGAGGAACACCGGUGGCGAAGGCGGCAUCCUGGACCAAUACUGACGCUGAAUAGCGAAAGCCAGGGGAGCAAACGGG
rnacentral:rRNA from 1 species